UACGAAGGGAGCUAGCGUUGUUCGGAAUCACUGGGCGUAAAGCGCACGUAGGCGGAUGUGUCAGUCAGGGGUGAAAUCCCGGAGCUCAACUUCGGAACUGCCUUUGAUACAGCACGUCUUGAGUCCGAUAGAGGUGGGUGGAAUUCCUAGUGUAGAGGUGAAAUUCGUAGAUAUUAGGAAGAACACCGGUGGCGAAGGCGGCCCACUGGGAUCGGUACUGACGCUGAGGUGCGAAAGCUAGGGGAGCAAACGGG
rnacentral:rRNA from 1 species